rnacentral:rRNA from 1 species
CGAGGGGCAGCAUGGUCUUAGCUUGCUAAGGCCGAUGGCGACCGGCGCACGGGUGAGUAACACGUAUCCAACCUGCCGUCUACUCUUGGACAGCCUUCUGAAAGGAAGAUUAAUACAAGAUGGCAUCAUGAGUCCGCAUGUUCACAUGAUUAAAGGUAUUCCGGUAGACGAUGGGGAUGCGUUCCAUUAGAUAGUAGGCGGGGUAACGGCCCACCUAGUCUUCGAUGGAUAGGGGUUCUGAGAGGAAGGUCCCCCACAUUGGAACUGAGACACGGUCCAAACUCCUACGGGAGGCAGCAGUGAGGAAUAUUGGUCAAUGGGCGAGAGCCUGAACCAGCCAAGUAGCGUGAAGGAUGACUGCCCUAUGGGUUGUAAACUUCUUUUAUAAAGGAAUAAAGUCGGGUAUGGAUACCCGUUUGCAUGUACUUUAUGAAUAAGGAUCGGCUAACUCCGUGCCAGCAGCCGCGGUAAUACGGAGGAUCCGAGCGUUAUCCGGAUUUAUUGGGUUUAAAGGGAGCGUAGAUGGAUGUUUAAGUCAGUUGUGAAAGUUUGCGGCUCAACCGUAAAAUUGCAGUUGAUACUGGAUAUCUUGAGUGCAGUUGAGGCAGGCGGAAUUCGUGGUGUAGCGGUGAAAUGCUUAGAUAUCACGAAGAACUCCGAUUGCGAAGGCAGCCUGCUAAGCUGCAACUG